UUAAAUUGAAGAGUUUGAUCAUGGCUCAGAUUGAACGCUGGCGGCAGGCUUAACACAUGCAAGUCGAACGGUAACAUA
rnacentral:rRNA from 1 species